GGGUUGUGAGGUUAAGCGACUAAGCGUACACGGUGGAUGCCCUGGCAGUCAGAGGCGAUGAAGGACGUGCUAAUCUGCGAUAAGCGUCGGUAAGGUGAUAUGAACCGUUAUAACCGGCGAUUUCCGAAUGGGGAAACCCAGUGUGAUUCGUCACACUAUCAUUAACUGAAUCCAUAGGUUAAUGAGGCGAACCGGGGGAACUGAAACAUCUAAGUACCCAGAGGAAAAGAAAUCAACCGAGAUUCCCCCAGUAGCGGCGAGCGAACGGGGAGCAGCCCAGAGCCUGAAUCAGUGUGUGUGUUAGUGGAAGCGUCUGGAAAGGCGCGCGAUACAGGGUGACAGCCCCGUACACAAAAAUGCACAUAUUGUGAGCUCGAUGAGUAGGGCGGGACACGUGGUAUCCUGUCUGAAUAUGGGGGGACCAUCCUCCAAGGCUAAAUACUCCUGACUGACCGAUAGUGAACCAGUACCGUGAGGGAAAGGCGAAAAGAACCCCGGCGAGGGGAGUGAAAAAGAACCUGAAACCGUGUACGUACAAGCAGUGGGAGCACGCUUAGGCGUGUGACUGCGUACCUUUUGUAUAAUGGGUCAGCGACUUAUAUUCUGUAGCAAGGUUAACCGAAUAGGGGAGCCGAAGGGAAACCGAGUCUUAACUGGGCGUUAAGUUGCAGGGUAUAGACCCGAAACCCGGUGAUCUAGCCAUGGGCAGGUUGAAGGUUGGGUAACACUAACUGGAGGACCGAACCGACUAAUGUUGAAAAAUUAGCGGAUGACUUGUGGCUGGGGGUGAAAGGCCAAUCAAACCGGGAGAUAGCUGGUUCUCCCCGAAAGCUAUUUAGGUAGCGCCUCGUGAAUUCAUCUCCGGGGGUAGAGCACUGUUUCGGCAAGGGGGUCAUCCCGACUUACCAACCCGAUGCAAACUGCGAAUACCGGAGAAUGUUAUCACGGGAGACACACGGCGGGUGCUAACGUCCGUCGUGAAGAGGGAAACAACCCAGACCGCCAGCUAAGGUCCCAAAGUCAUGGUUAAGUGGGAAACGAUGUGGGAAGGCCCAGACAGCCAGGAUGUUGGCUUAGAAGCAGCCAUCAUUUAAAGAAAGCGUAAUAGCUCACUGGUCGAGUCGGCCUGCGCGGAAGAUGUAACGGGGCUAAACCAUGCACCGAAGCUGCGGCAGCGACGCUUAUGCGUUGUUGGGUAGGGGAGCGUUCUGUAAGCCUGCGAAGGUGUGCUGUGAGGCAUGCUGGAGGUAUCAGAAGUGCGAAUGCUGACAUAAGUAACGAUAAAGCGGGUGAAAAGCCCGCUCGCCGGAAGACCAAGGGUUCCUGUCCAACGUUAAUCGGGGCAGGGUGAGUCGACCCCUAAGGCGAGGCCGAAAGGCGUAGUCGAUGGGAAACAGGUUAAUAUUCCUGUACUUGGUGUUACUGCGAAGGGGGGACGGAGAAGGCUAUGUUGGCCGGGCGACGGUUGUCCCGGUUUAAGCGUGUAGGCUGGUUUUCCAGGCAAAUCCGGAAAAUCAAGGCUGAGGCGUGAUGACGAGGCACUACGGUGCUGAAGCAACAAAUGCCCUGCUUCCAGGAAAAGCCUCUAAGCAUCAGGUAACAUCAAAUCGUACCCCAAACCGACACAGGUGGUCAGGUAGAGAAUACCAAGGCGCUUGAGAGAACUCGGGUGAAGGAACUAGGCAAAAUGGUGCCGUAACU
rnacentral:rRNA from 1 species